GAUCCUGGCUCAGGAUGAACGCUGGCGGCGUGCUUAACACAUGCAAGUCGAACGGGGUGCUCAUGACGGAGGAUUCGUCCAACGGAUUGAGUUACCUAGUGGCGGACGGGUGAGUAACGCGUGAGGAACCUGCCUUGGAGAGGGGAAUAACACCCCGAAAGGAGUGCUAAUACCGCAUAAUGCAGUUGGGUCGCAUGGCUCUGACUGUCAAAGNUUUAUCGCUCUGAGAUGGCCUCG
rnacentral:rRNA from 1 species